rnacentral:rRNA from 1 species
GACGAACGCUGGCGGCGUGCUUAACACAUGCAAGUCGAACGGAAAGGCCCUGCUUUUGUGGGGUGCUCGAGUGGCGAACGGGUGAGUAACACGUGAGUAACCUGCCCUUGACUUUGGGUUAACUUCAGGAAACUGGGGCUAAUACCGGAUAGGAGCUCCUGCUGCAUGGUGGGGGUUGGACAGUUUCGGCGGUUGGGGAUGGACUCGCGGCUUAUCAGCUUGUUGGUGGGGUAGUGGCUUACCAAGGCUUUGACGGGUAGCCGGCCUGAGAGGGUGACCGGCCACAUUGGGACUGAGAUACGGCCCAGACUCCUACGGGAGGCAGCAGUGGGGAAUAUUGCACAAUGGGCGGAAGCCUGAUGCAGCAACGCCGCGUGCGGGAUGACGGCCUUCGGGUUGUAAACCGCUUUCGCCUGUGACGAAGCGUGAGUGACGGUAAUGGGUAAAGAAGCACCGGCUAACUACGUG